UAGUAUAUAACCACACACCCAAAACACGCACACUAAUAAUCGACAGAUCAAAGCCCUAACCAGUACUGAAAAUGUGUUUCCGUCUUUCUAUCAAGCCAUAAAGCCUCUCUCCCUAAAGCUUUUGCAGUUGGACAUCAAAGAAAACCCUAACCCCUAAUGGUAACACUGCUCAAAGAAGAAACCCUAGGUCUGGAAUCCUCCUUUGGAGAAGCGAAAGCGUGUUAGGCGAUUUGCAGAUGGCCGUUUCUGCUAGGGUUGAGAGGAAUAGAGCUUUCUCCCUCCAAAAAACUCGAAGAUAACAGCACUAGUAACACUUGUUUGGGAGAGAUGGAAUUUGACAGACAACAUUUUCAGAUAAUUGUAGUGGUGUUCAUCAGUUCCAGGCUGCAGAGCUUAAUCGUGCUGAGCAGAUAUAGUUGUUCACUCCACCGAUGACAUUGGAAUAUAUUUUGUGUUUAGACUUGGGUUUUGUUUCCAGUCUUUUGAGUUCAGUGGGUUAUUUUAGGGGUCCACUGGAUGGAUUCCCAAGUUGUAUAAGUUGGAGAACGAUAUGUGUUCGUGGUGAAUCAGUUGUAUCUGAAAUAUCUUAUUUAUCAAUGGAGUUAUUUAUUCUGAGGUUUCAAAUAUUGGAUUACUCUUUUAGUUUUCAUUUCAGCAAAUUUUAUUUAUCUCUUUUGAUAUAAUUAUUCUGUGUUCGAUUAUUGCUAAUUGGUUUAAUAUCCUCGGGUAAUCGGGCAUGGGCCCCGCAUUCGAAAAUCUGGGGGUAUCACGUAAGCUGUUCUUCAUGGGGUGUGAACUCAUCAUGCUUGAGCUCUUGAAGGUCGUGGUUGCAUAAGAAGACCAGCUAAUAAGUUCCAGAAACACUCGACAUGAUUUUAGCUGACUAUAUAUAU